CCCAUAAGCACCAAAAGACAACCUGCAAGUGUCUAUCACAGUUCCAUCAGAAUUCUUGCAUGGAGACACCUUAGCCAGGAAGGCAGCAUUCAAGUAAGGAAGGGCAUUUCCAAGGGGUCGAGGAGAAGCUCGAAACUCCUCCAAUGUCAGCCACUCAAAUUGUGUAGCAGUCAUUAUGUGAACCAUUGAAUCCACAGCAAGAAGUAUUGUAGCAAUAUCCGAGGGAAAAUGAUGCCUCUGUGCCAUCACUAGAUUGCCACCUACACUGGCUGUGUUCCUAAUAAACCCUGAGGCAACUUUGUUCAUAUGGUCAGCAAUCUUUUCAAGUAUCAUUGUAUAAUGUGAGAGAAAGUCACUUCUUCUGUCUUCCUUUAGUGCUUCAGUGGCUUUUGAUAUUGUCACUGCUGCUCCAAUUUCAAUCCCUGUCCUAUCCUUUCUGAUCAUUGAGAGCUCAGAAAUGCCCCUUUGAUCAAUGUACACAUCAUAGCUUUCAUUAUCUUUGUAAUAUACCAUGCCUGUAUUACUAAAAACAAGUUUCAUCCUUGUCGCAUUGGCUUGGUUUAAUGCCAAUAAUCUCUGAAGCUCCUUCAGACUAGUAGGACUAUACCAACAGUGUUCCUCAGAAGCCAAGGACACGAAUAGCUUGAUUUCCUUCAAAAAAAACAAAGGAAAUCUAACAUUAGUGUGAUUUUGGUCAUAUUGAGGCAAACCUACUAAGCUUUAAGUCCUUGCUCUCUCUGUUUCUCCAAAAAGAAUUGAACCCCAAAUCCUCUAUAUCAACAUCAGCUGCAAAGCUUUAGCAGGCAUCAGCAAUGGGUUUGUAACCGGUACAGCGACAAAGGUUGCCUGCAAUGGCCAUUUCAGCCUCUGAAGCAGACACUUUUGAGAAUCCAGAAGGUGGCUCUGGACGAUUGGUCUUUUCAGCAUUGACAAGAGUACCAUAAAGGGAAACACACAUUCCAGGAGUGCAGAAGCCACAUUGAGUGGCAUGGACUCCAGCAAUUCUUUCAUGGAUUGGGUGGAAACCGUGGAACCCAUCUUUACUAUUUCCAAUGCCUUCACUUGUUGUUAUGGAACAUCCAUGUAUGCUGCAAAGUAGUGUGAGACAAGAGCUUGCCGUGAAAUAGUCAACUUUGCCGAGCACUGGAUCAUAUUUGGAGAUUAAUACUACACAAGCACCACAACCACCUGGAACAAAUAACCAUGUCAAAACACGAAGUACUAAGUUGAAAUGAUUUCGAGGAUCACUAAAAGGCAACAUCUUUUCCUGCUUCAUUUUCAUGACAAAAUUAUCAGAAACAACAAGAGCAAUUUUCAUGACAAAAGGGAAUGGUGUGAUGUGAUUAUGUAGCUAACUUCAGCAAGUGGGAAUACGCAAGAAGUCGAGUAAAGUGGUUGAUGGUCAUAGAGCUCGAUCCUCUCACCAUUAACACCAAAAACCAAACUUAUUGGUGUAUUCAGCUCCAUAGUUCAACACUGUUAUUUCACUUUUCAGCAACAGAAGAGAGUUAUCCGGUUAUGUUAUGUCUGUAAUCAUUUGUUAUCUUUUCAACAUUUGGCACAUUGCUUCUC